GAUGAACGCUGGCGGCGUGCCUAAUACAUGCAAGUCGAGCGAACGGACGAGAAUCUUGCUUCUCUGAUGUUAGCGGCGGACGGGUGAGUAACACGUGGAUAACCUACCUAUAAGACUGGGAUAACUUCGGGAAACCGGAGCUAAUACCGGAUAAUAUUUUGAACCGCAUGGUUCAAAAGUGAAAGACGGUCUUGCUGUCACUUAUAGAUGGAUCCGCGCUGCAUUAGCUAGUUGGUAAGGUAACGGCUUACCAAGGCAACGAUGCAUAGCCGACCUGAGAGGGUGAUCGGCCACACUGGAACUGAGACACGGUCCAGACUCCUACGGGAGGCAGCAGUAGGGAAUCUUCCGCAAUGGGCGAAAGCCUGACGGAGCAACGCCGCGUGAGUGAUGAAGGUCUUCGGAUCGUAAAACUCUGUUAUUAGGGAAGAACAUAUGUGUAAGUAACUGUGAACAUCUUGACGGUACCUAAUCAGAAAGCCACGGCUAACUACGUG
rnacentral:rRNA from 1 species